UACGUAGGGUGCAAGCGUUGUCCGGAAUUAUUGGGCGUAAAGAGCUCGUAGGCGGUCUGUCACGUCGGGCGUGAAAAUCCAGGGCUUAACCCUGGACCUGCGUUCGAUACGGGCAGACUAGAGUUCGGUAGGGGAGACUGGAAUUCCUGGUGUAGCGGUGAAAUGCGCAGAUAUCGGGAGGAACACCAGUGGCGAAGGCGGCUUUCUGGUCUGUUCUUGACGCUGAGGCGCGAAAGCUAGGGUAGCAAACGGG
rnacentral:rRNA from 1 species